GCAGGAUGUCCUGAGGUGGUAAUUAACAAAAGAAAAAGGAGGAGAUGUAAAGGGUAAACAUGUUAAGUCAAAGAAGGGUGACGUGAACUCUGUCAGAUCCACAUGAAGGACAGAGUAAAGAAAAUGGAGAGGAAAAGCGGAAGAAGAUGGUGGCUGAAAUGCAGAAAAAAAAUCCUGGUCCUCAGCUUGUGGAUGAACUGACAUUUUCACAAUGCUGGCAAGAAAUCAUUGGAGAGCAGCCACUCCCUGCAGAGGUUCUUAGCAGAGGGCCAGCUCUCUUUCUUGAGAGACAGGUUAGGGCAGAGUUCAGGAAAGUUGUCAUUACAGACAUUCUUCAAUCUUUUCUUGUUGGACUUGAUGCCCUGGUCCCAAGACUACUAGAGGUGUACAAAGCAGCAACCAAGUCUGGAAAGAAGCAGGCACUCAGACAUUUUGGACUGUCUUGAGAAAGAUGCAAGUGGAGGAGUUUAUGAAAUUUGAAUGUGGCACUAUUAUGUUUGCUAUAGCAUUUUUAUCUCUGCUGCUUAUUUUCUGUCUUGUAGGACACAAAUGAGAGGAGAAGCACUGCUGUCUUGGUUGGUCUGCCACACUACAUAUCCGAAGAUCCAUGUGACGUCAUCAGGAUGUGUGACGCAAGACCAAAUGUCGUUCUGUAAUGUAUAGCUGAUUAAGGACAAAAUUUACUUUAUUUGGAAACAAGUAAACCUUUUGAAGGCUCAUGGCAAAACACUGGAUCUGGCCGUGAAGGGGAUGCAGGUCGGCCUGCUUAUAGGCUACGAAAGUGCCGAAAAGGUCGCUUUUCCAAGGGAGGUCUUUGACGUGGCAGUUGUGCUGGAGGAGACCAUUGUUGUAAACAACCUCAAGGACGUGCUCUGUAGAUUUGCCAGGCUUAUGGGCAUCAUUUACUGCGUGAAUCUUGAGUAUCCACAAUUAAUGAAGUACUCGUUUGAGUUCCUGCAGAGUGGUGACGAAGAUCCAAUCGGACCAAGCCUCUGCCCGAGUACAUGGGUUAAGUAACAAGCUCCUGAGGUACAAAUUGUAGAACAAGUUGGCAUGAAGGACAUUAACGAUGAGUUAACUUCCUAAUGUUUUGAUUUUCAUUUGCCUUUAUUGAGAUUCUAAAGAAAGUCUUUGUUGCUGUUCUCAUUAACAUGGGCAUUUUGGCAUUUCUUGGGGAAAAAAAUAUGUUUGGUGUAAUGUUGAAAAUUUAAAGCAAAAUUCCACUUACAAUAAUGAGUAGAAAUAAUUAGUAUAUUCAAUUUGAUUUUACUUGUAAUUUUACGGCAGCAAUUGAACUUAAGUUUUUAAGUUGAAGCAGACAAAUUUUUUGCAGUGCAAACUACACUAAGUUACAGGAUCUUCUCUCAAUUAAGCAAGUCUCAAAGUACUCCUUGACUGGAAAGAGGUGCAAAUAACAAUUAACUGAAAAUGAGUUGCUAUACACCCAACUUUAUCUGACAUUUUAUUUUACCAAAGAAGAGCAGGUUCAACAGAUUUACAUGACAAAACAAAAUGUCAGUUACUUAUACCAUUUUCAGGUAUGUUUAAAUUCACCAGAUAGCACAUUGACCUUUUUCUCUUUUUUUACUCAUCUUAAAAUAAAAAGGCCAUAGGUUACAAACCUCCAAAUAAAAAUCUGCAUGCAGGGUAAUAUUAUUAAUACCAACAUCGUACGUUACGCACAUACAAUUUUUAGCAAGCCAAAUUAAGAUGAGGCUGUACAGACAUUAUAGUGCGGGGGGUUAAAGUUUCGCUAAAACAUUUUUACUUUGUCAGGAAAAAAAAACCUUAACUUUGCAAUGUUAAUGAUUAAUCUUGAAAAGGAAUAAUUAAACAUUUACUAGAUAAAGUUUACCUCCGAUGUCUCAAU